GAUGAACGCUGGCGGCGUGCUUAACACAUGCAAGUCGAACGGAAAGGCUCCUGCUUGCAGGGGUACUCGAGUGGCGAACGGGUGAGUAACACGUGGGUGAUCUGCCCUGCACUUCGGGAUAAGCCUGGGAAACUGGGUCUAAUACCGGAUAGGACGAUGGUUUGGAUGCCAUUGUGGAAAGUUUUUUCGGUGUGGGAUGAGCUCGCGGCCUAUCAGCUUGUUGGUGGGGUAGUGGCAUACCAAGGCGUCGACGGGUAGCCGGCCUGAGAGGGUGUACGGCCACAUUGGGACUGAGAUACGGCCCAGACUCCUACGGGAGGCAGCAGUGGGGAAUAUUGCACAAUGGGCGCAAGCCUGAUGCAGCGACGCCGCGUGGGGGAUGACGGCCUUCGGGUUGUAAACUCCUUUCGCUAGGGACGAAGCGCAAGUGACGGUACCUGGAGAAGAAGCACCGGCUAACUACGUG
rnacentral:rRNA from 1 species